rnacentral:rRNA from 1 species
GUACGGGAGGCAGCAGUGGGGAAUAUUGCGCAAUGGGCGAAAGCCUGACGCAGCAACGCCGCGUGAGGGAUGACGGCCUUCGGGUUGUAAACCUCUUUCAGCAGGGACGAAGCGAAAGUGACUGUACCUGCAGAAGAAGCGCCGGCUAACUACGUGCCAGCAGCCGCGGUAAUACGUAGGGCGCAAGCGUUGUCCGGAUUUAUUGGGCGUAAAGAGUUCGUAGGCGGUCUGUCGCGUCGGAAGUGAAAACCCGGAGCUCAACUCCGGGCCUGCUUUCGAUACGGGCAGACUUGAGUGUUGCAGGGGAGACUGGAAUUCCUGGUGUAGCGGUGGAAUGCGCAGAUAUCAGGAGGAACACCGGUGGCGAAGGCGGGUCUCUGGGCAACAACUGACGCUGAGGAACGAAAGCGUGGGGAGCGAACAGGAUUAGAUACCCUGGUAGUCA